rnacentral:rRNA from 1 species
GUGUCAGCAGCCGCGGUAAGACAGAGGGUGCAAACGUUGUUCGGAAUUACUGGGCGUAAAGCGUGUGUAGGCGGCCAUGUAAGUCGGAUGUGAAAGCCCCGGGCUUAACCCGGGAAGUGCAUUCGAUACUGCGUGGCUUGAGUAUCGGAGAGGUUGGUGGAAUUCUCGGUGUAGAGGUGAAAUUCGUAGAUAUCGAGAGGAACACCGGUGGCGAAGGCGGCCAACUGGACGAAUACUGACGCUGAGACACGAAAGCGUGGGGAGCAAACAGGAUUAGAUACCCUUGUAGUCC